rnacentral:lncRNA from 10 species
UGUGGCUGACCGAUCCAUAGUGAUGCUUUGAGCACAAGGAAGGACUUUCUGGAAUCUACUUAUCUGACCAAGAAAGCUUCUUUCCAAAAGAAAUGCAAUUGUCUUGAGACUUCUUCCCUAGGGAUCUGAUCAACUAACCAGAAAAGAGCAACCACCAGAGAAGAGACUAUUGUGGUCUACUCUAUAGAAGGGAUCAUGCUUUGAACCUCAUCUUGAAAGGAGAUUCAAUCUUUCCUUCUUGCUCCUAAUAUCAACAGAGGGUGGAAUAUAUGUGCAGGAACAAAUAAUAUCUCUGUACUGGGAAGUGCAAGAUUGUCUUCUAGUCACCGGCACUUGACACACUAAAUUGAUGCACAUCCAUUUUAAACCCGGCAUUUGUGCUCCAUAUCUUGCCCUUUGACCUAUUUGGAUUCAUGUGGGAAUGUGACCUCUGCUUGAAUAGGAUGAUGACAUUUUCAAAGAAGCUAAAUCUUACCAAAAAUCAGAUUCUGGUACGAUUGUGAUCAAGUAGUAUAAUAAAGCUAAUCGUGGCUUGCAGAAAUCGAAA